CAGAAAGGGAAAAGGGGGCUCGAACGCAGCGACUAGGUGGUGACGUUCGAUCCAUCGCGAGAAGGAGAGGGAAACCCGUUCUCCGGCGACUCCACUGCGAGGAGGACCAAUGGCGAAGCGAUGACAGAAGGGAGCGAGAGGGAAGCUCGCAGGUGCGUUGUCCGCUAUUCUGAAUGUCGUGACCUAUCGAGAUCGUCUCCGGAGUUCGAAGAGGCCGAAGAGAUGGAGGGAAGAGGGGAGGCAGCGAGGCUUCUUCUUCUCGUCCGACUGCGGGGUGUGAAGGGGGAAAAGAAACGGGUCCACCUGGAGGGAUGCGAGUAGCAGUAGCGACGAGUCUAGAUUUUUGGGAGGGAGGAGCACCUCCGGUGCUUCACUGGUUCGUAGAGAAGGGAAAAAAAAUGAAAGUAGCAAGGACUGCUUAAGUAACUCUCGUGCUUCUUCUGUCUCGGAUGGAAGGUGCGAGUGUGAGGAAAUCAAAAGGGGCUAUCGGCGCCUUCUGAGUGGUGGCGAGGGAAGUUCAAUCGUGGCUGUUUGUUGAUUCGGGAAAGGUAGCAGCUAUCAACACAGGGGAAGAGGCAACAUCGAAUGGGAAAGAUUGAGUGUGGGGAUGUGGAGGUGGCGGCAGCCACCCUCACACCCGAAGACCGGGUGAAAACCAUUUUUUAAGUCAAAACCGCUUUGACUAAUCUAACACAUAUGAUUACGAACAGUAUAAUAGAUUUUACACUUAUGGUGCCUUGUGUUAUGUAAUAACUUUGAUUUUCAUUUUUUCUUGCUUUUAAAUAUAAAUAAUCAAUCGUAUAUUAACAAAUUUUACAUA